AGAGUUUGAUCAUGGCUCAGAACGAACGCUGGCGGCGCGCCUAAUACAUGCAAGUCGAGCGAGAAGGUGUAGCAAUACACUUGUAAAGCGGCGAACGGGUGAGGAAUACAUGGGUAAUCUACCAUCGAGUGGGGAAUAACCAACCGAAAGGUUGGCUAAUACCGCGUACGCUUCUGAGCCUUCGGGUUCGGAAGGAAAGCCGUACUGUGAGUGCGGCGCUCUUUGAUGAGCUCAUGUCCUAUCAGCUUGUUGGUAGGGUAACGGCCUACCAAGGCUUUGACGGGUAGCUGGUCUGAGAGGACGAUCAGCCACACUGGCACUGCGACACGGGCCAGACUCCUACGGGAGGCAGCAGUAAGGAAUAUUGCGCAAUGGGCGAAAGCCUGACGCAGCGACGCCGCGUGGGGGAUGAAGGUCUUCGGAUUGUAAACCCCUUUCGGGAGGGAAGAUGGAGCGAGCAAUCGUUCGGACGGUACCUCCAGAAGCAGCCACGGCCAACUUCGUGCCAGCAGCCGCGGUAAUACGAAGGUGGCAAGCGUUGUUCGGAUUCACUGGGCGUACAGGGUGUGUAGGCGGUUUGGUAAGCCUUCUGUUAAAGCUUCGGGCCCAACCCGGAAAGCGCAGAGGGUACUGCCAGGCUAGAGGGUGGGAGAGGAGCGCGGAAUUCCCGGUGUAGCGGUGAAAUGCGUAGAGAUCGGGAGGAAGGCCGGUGGCGAAGGCGGCGCUCUGGAACAUACCUGACGCUGAGACACGAAAGCGUGGGGAGCAAACAGGAUUAGAUACCCUGGUAGUCCACGCCCUAAACUAUGGAUACUAAGUGUCGGCGGGUUACCGCCGGUGCCGCAGCUAACGCAUUAAGUAUCCCGCCUGGGAAGUACGGCCGCAAGGUUGAAACUCAAAUGAAUUGACGG
rnacentral:rRNA from 1 species